UACGAAGGGGGCUAGCGUUGUUCGGAUUUACUGGGCGUAAAGCGCACGUAGGCGGAUUCUUAAGUCAGGGGUGAAAUCCCGAGGCUCAACCUCGGAACUGCCUUUGAUACUGGGGAUCUUGAGUUCGGGAGAGGUGAGUGGAACUGCGAGUGUAGAGGUGAAAUUCGUAGAUAUUCGCAAGAACACCAGUGGCGAAGGCGGCUCACUGGCCCGAUACUGACGCUGAGGUGCGAAAGCGUGGGGAGCAAACAGG
rnacentral:rRNA from 1 species